UGGGGAAUAUUGCACAAUGGGCGCAAGCCCGAUGCAGCCAUGCCGCGUGUAUGAAGAAGGCCUUCGGGUUGUAAAGUACUUUCGGCGAGGAGGAAGGCAUUAAGGUUAAUAACCUUGGUGAUUGACGUUACUCGCAGGAAGAAGCACCGGCUAACUCCGUG
rnacentral:rRNA from 1 species